CCUACGGGAGGCAGCAGUGAGGAAUAUUGGUCAAUGGACGGAAGUCUGAACCAGCCAAGUCGCGUGAAGGAUGACUGCCCUAUGGGUUGUAAACUUCUUUUAUCUGGGAAUAAAAUGUUCCACGUGUGGGAUUUUGUAUGUACCAUAUGAAUAAGGAUAGGCUAACUCCGUGCCAGCAGCCGCGUUAAUCCGGAGGAUCCGAGCGUUAUCCGGAUUUAUUGGGUUUAAAGGGAGCGUAGGUGGAUUGUUAAGUCAGUUGUGAAAGUUUGCGGCUCAACCGUAAAAUUGCAGUUGAUACUGGCAGUCUUGAGUACAGUAGCGGUGGGCGGAAGUUGUGGUGUAGCGGUGAAAUGCUUAGAGAUCACGAAGAACUCCGAUUGCGAAGGCAGCUCACUGAACUGCAACUGACACUGAGGCUCGAAAGUGUGGGUAUCAAACAGGAUUAGAUACCCCUGUAGUC
rnacentral:rRNA from 1 species